UACGAGGGGGGCAAGCGUUGUUCGGAAUUAUUGGGCGUAAAGGGCGCGUAGGCGGUUUGACAAGUCUGAUGUGAAAUCUAUGGGCUCAACCCAUAGCCUGCAUUAGAAACUGUCGGGCUUGAGUAUGGGAGAGGUGAGUGGAAUUUCCGGUGUAGCGGUGAAAUGCGUAGAUAUCGGAAAGGAACACCUGUGGCGAAAGCGGCUCACUGGACCAUAACUGACGCUGAGGCGCGAAAAGCUAGGGGAGCAAACAGG
rnacentral:rRNA from 1 species